ensembl:sRNA
GGCGCUGGUGGUGGCACGCCUAGCACUGCUGGGCCAGGGUUCGAGUCCCUGUGGCGCC